GUUUUGUUGGUGCUUUGCUAGCUCCGCCCCGCCGCGGUGGCAGUAGAUGUUCCUUAUAAAUUACACGAUUUGAAGGUUACUGCGCAUGCAUUGCUGACAGAUGCUAUAUUUUUGUAGUGGAAGCAAAUUCUGAAUCAAUAAUCAUAGUAGUGCAGUGCAUUACAUUUCUCUUUCCCGAUUUUUAUUGGAUUUGAUUUGAUAGAUCGAUCUUCCCAGCAAACACAGAAACGAUAAUGUGGAAGCUCAAGUUUGCGGAGGGAGGGAGUCCAUGGCUUCGCUCGCUCAACAAUCACGUUGGAAGACAGGUGUGGGAGUUCGAUCCUAAGCUCGGAUCACCUCAAGAUCUCCUUGAGAUUGAGAAAGCUCGCCAGAAUUUCCAUGAAAAUCGCUUUUCAACCAAACACAGCUCUGAUCUACUUAUGCGCUUGCAGUUUGCAAGAGAGAACCCAAUCCAUGAAGUCUUACCCAAAGUGGGAGUUAAAGAUAUUCAGGAUGUGACUGAAGACGUUGUGACAAAAACAUUAAGAAGGGCUGUAACUUUCCAUUCAACUCUCCAGUGUCAUGACGGACACUGGCCGGGAGACUAUGGAGGUCCUAUGUUUCUGAUGCCUGGCUUGGUAAUUACUCUGUCAAUCACUGGGGCACUCAAUGCAGUUUUAACUGAAGAGCAUAAAAAGGAAAUAUGUCGUUACCUAUAUAACCAUCAAAAUAAGGAUGGUGGGUGGGGUUUGCACAUUGAAGGUCCAAGUACCAUGUUUGGCUCUGUCUUGAGUUAUGUUACUCUGAGAUUGCUUGGUGAGGGGCCUAAUGAUGGAAAAGGGGAGAUGGAGAAGGCACGUGACUGGAUUCUAGAGCAUGGUGGUGCUACCCAUAUUACGUCAUGGGGGAAGAUGUGGCUUUCAGUACUUGGAGUGUACGAAUGGUCUGGAAAUAAUCCCCUGCCCCCUGAGAUAUGGCUCCUUCCAUACAUUCUGCCAUUUCAUCCAGGAAGGAUGUGGUGUCACUGCCGGAUGGUCUAUUUGCCAAUGUCCUACUUAUAUGGAAAGAGGUUUGUUGGCCCAAUCACACCAACAAUAUUAUCUUUGAGAAAAGAGCUAUAUACUGUACCAUAUCAUGAUAUUGACUGGGAUCAAUCUCGCAAUCUGUGUGCAAAGGAAGACUUGUACUAUCCUCACCCACUCGUGCAGGAUAUUCUUUGGGGAUCUCUACACAAUUUCCUCGAGCCAAUUCUGAUGCAUUGGCCUGGCAAAAAGCUAAGGGAGAAGGCUCUUACUUCAACAAUGGAACAUAUACAUUAUGAAGAUGAGAAUACACGAUACAUAUGCAUAGGUCCUGUAAAUAAGGUGUUAAAUAUGCUUUGCUGCUGGGUGGAAGAUCCAAAUUCUGAGGCCUUCAAGUUGCAUCUUCCAAGAGUUUAUGAUUAUCUAUGGAUUGCUGAAGAUGGAAUGAAAAUGCAGGGCUACAAUGGAAGUCAACUGUGGGAUACUGCUUUUGCUGUCCAAGCUAUUAUUUCAACUAACCUCAUUGAAGAAUUUGGUCCAACUAUAAGAAAAGCUCAUACCUAUAUUAAGAACUCCCAGGUUUUAGAAGACUGUCCAGGUGAUCUUAAUAAAUGGUAUCGUCACAUUUCAAAAGGUGCUUGGCCUUUUUCAACUGCAGAUCAUGGAUGGCCAAUUUCUGAUUGCACAGCUGAAGGACUGAAAGCUGUUCUAUCAUUAUCCAAAAUUGCACCAGAAGUAGUUGGUGAGCCAUUGGAGGUGAAGCGAUUAUAUGAUUCAGUAAAUGUCAUUCUCUCACUACAGAAUGAAGAUGGUGGUUUUGCAACAUAUGAGCUUAAACGAUCUUAUAAUUGGUUGGAGUUAAUCAAUCCGGCUGAAACAUUUGGUGACAUCGUUAUUGACUAUCCUUACGUGGAAUGUACAUCAGCCGCAAUUCAAGCUUUGGCAUCAUUUAGGAAAUUAUAUCCUGGACAUCGCCGAGAAGAAAUACAAUGUUGUAUAGAAAAAGCUGUUGCCUUCAUUGAAAAUAUACAAGCUUCAGAUGGCUCAUGGUAUGGUUCUUGGGGAGUUUGCUUCACUUAUGGUGCUUGGUUUGGGGUAAAAGGAUUGGUUGCUGCUGGAAAGAGUUUCAGUAAUUGCCCGAGCAUCCGGAAAGCUUGUGAAUUUCUGCUGUCCAAGCAGCUUCCUUCCGGUGGCUGGGGAGAGAGCUAUCUGUCCUGUCAAAACAAGGUGUAUUCAAAUCUGGAAGGCAACAAGUCUCAUGUGGUAAACACUGGGUGGGCUAUGUUGGCUCUAAUUGAUGCUGGACAGGCCAAGAGAGAUCCGACUCCACUGCACCGGGCAGCUGCAUACUUGAUAAAUUCCCAAAUGGAGAACGGUGACUUUCCCCAACAGGAAAUAAUGGGAGUCUUCAACAAGAAUUGCAUGAUCUCAUACUCUGCUUACAGAAACAUAUUCCCCAUUUGGGCGUUGGGAGAAUAUCGAUCCCAUAUAUUGCAAGCCCGUUAAUAUCGACCUAGUUAGGUGUCGUCCCAAUUAUUUCGACCUGUAGACAUUAAAAGAAAAAAUUAUUAUUACUAUUAUUAUUUCGAUCUAUUUUUCUUUUAUUUCCAUGCCUCUCUUAAAAUGCUUGUGACUAACGAGUUUAGUUGUCAGCUAAAAAGAAAGAAGAGCAAACUGGUGGAGAAUGCCUAUUUCUCAUUCGGUUAAGGAAAGAAGAAAGGAGACAAACACUCUCCCAAAACACUAAGUUGCCAUCGAAGAUAUUGGAAAUAAAGACGAGACAAUCAUCAUCGCAUUUACGAGAGACCAAGUGAAAGAAGUAUUUUUUUUUCUUUUCGUAUAUUUGACAGGUGUGGGUGGAAAGAUGAGUGGGUAUAAGAAGCAAUUUCCAAACCUCCUGUUGGAACUUGACCACACAAUGUAGUGUCAAAUUCUGAACUCGGGGAAUUUCGUACAAUGUAACACUUAGGCAAUGUUUGUUUCAAUGGAUGACACUAUUAAAGCA